GGGGGCGUAGCUCAAGAGGAUAGAGCACCGGCCUUCUAAGCCGGGGGUUGCAGGUUCGAUUCCUGCCGCCCCUACCA
rnacentral:tRNA from 1 species